UACGUAGGUGGCAAGCGUUGUCCGGAUUUAUUGGGUUUAAAGGGUGCGUAGGCGGUCUUAUAAGUCAGUGGUGAAAUACGGCAGCUCAACUGUCGAGGUGCCAUUGAUACUGUAGGACUUGAGUACAGACGAGGUAGGCGGAAUUGACGGUGUAGCGGUGAAAUGCUUAGAUAUCGUAAGGAAGACCAGUGGCGAAGGCGAGUCUCUGGACAGUUACUGACGCUGAGGCACGAAGGCCAGGGGAGCAAACGGG
rnacentral:rRNA from 1 species